ensembl:rRNA 5S_rRNA 5S ribosomal RNA
GCUUACGGCCACACCGCCUUGUUCACGCUUUGAUCUCGGAAGCUAAGAUAGGUUGUGCCUGGUUAGUACUUGGAUGGGAGACCGCCUGGGAAUACCAGGUGCUGUAAGCU